UUCUCAUAUUUCAGAUUGUUUCUAAGCCCAGGAAGUCCGUAUGUCGUACACUCAAUAAUGAGGAGGAGGAAGAUUUGGUUGUAUGGCUUAGAGAGAACACAUUCCUCUAUGAUAAAUCCUCAGCUGAUUUUAAGUUAAAGGAGAAGAAGAACAAAUAAUGGGCAGCUAAGGAGGAAUAGCUGGGUCUUAAAGCUGGUGACCUGUCAUCAAUAUGGUAUUCUUAUAUGAGGACACAGUUCUCAAAGCUGGUGAAGUUAUUCAGCAAGUCAGGGUCUGGUGUAGCAGAACACACAGCAAGGCAGCAGUUGCUUAUGGAUAGCUUUAGUUUCCUGCGUCCUUACCUUGUGCAGCUGCGCAACCAAAGAGUAUCCAAAUUUGCUGAUAAGAGGAAGGAACUUACCUCAGAGGACACUGAUGAUAUUGAUGCCGCUCUUCUGACUUGUCAGUAUCCUCAACCGCAACUGCACCUGGAUAUAAUCCAAAAGCAGCUCGGGAUCUCUCUUCACUGACGUCCGAGUUAGAGUCCGUGCGUGGUGCCAUCACAGGUGCACAGGAUUCACCUGCACAGACUGGACAAUUUUUGGUGUACUUGAUGCGCCAAAUGGGCUAGCAAGUGAUGAACCUAUUCGUCACACGUUCCACAAGGCUUGUUCUAGACCUUGUGGAUAAGAGCCAAGAAGAAAAGCGACGUCUGGCAGCCCAACAAGCAGCUAAGCAGACAGUAGUUCCAUUAUUUGCUAUGCCUACCCUUCCUAAAUUAACAUCAACAACAAAUAGAAGACAGUUUCAACCAUCGGCAGCUACUGGUUCAGCAAUGCAGCAGCAACAGUCCAGGCAACAACAAAUUCAGCAGGAUUUUCAGGUAGCCAACAACAUAGCUGAAAGCUGCGCCACCAGCACAUGUCACUCCACAAGUGUCAUACUUAAACCCAUCUACAGCCACCUAAUGUCCAGCCUAUGUUUCUACAACAGUCAGCUGGCAGUUCUUCUGAUGCCAACACUUCAUCUUUCAUCUGCUGUUCUAUGGAUGUUAUCUCCACACCUUACAGUCCCGUUAACCUUAGUCAGGGGUCGUUUGAAGACACACUUGACGUAUUACAGUAACUGUCGUCUAAGAUCAAUAACCGAAACAUUUCCAAGUCUCAAAAGAAGGUAUGAAAUCUGACUGAUCUCGAUCUCAGUACAUUCAGUAACUCGAUGUGAUCUUUGAAUUGUGAACUUUGAUUUGUAUUUUGCAUUGUUUUAUAAAGUUUUUGAUAUUUGA